GACGAACGCUGGCGGCGUGCUUAACACAUGCAAGUCGAGCGGAGCGGCGAACGGGUGAGUAACGCGUGAGUAACUGCCCCCCUCUCUGGGAUAACAGUUGGAAACGGCUGCUAAUACCGGAUAGUGGGGGAUGACUCGAGGCCUAUCCGCUUGUUGGUGGGGUAGUGGCCUACCAAGGCGACGACGGGUAGCCGGCCUGAGAGGGGGACCGGCCACAUGGGGCUGCGGUACGUCCCAGACGCCAACGGGAGGCAGCAGUGGGGAAUAUUGCGCAAUGGGGGAAACCCUGAUGCAGCAACGCCGGGUGCGGAAUGACGGCCUUCGGGUUGUAAACAGCUUUCAGCCAUGACGCGGUAGUGGCAGAAGAAGCACCGGCUAACUACGUGCCAGCAGCCGCGGUAAUAC
rnacentral:rRNA from 1 species